rnacentral:lncRNA from 1 species
GAGGAUGUUUACCUUGGUCACAGGGGAUGGGCCAUUACCAUUGUGACGUCGGCGCCCAUGGGUACUCUCCCUUUUCGAAACGUUUUGAAAGACAAUGCAACCGUCCCAAUGGAAUAUUAUUGAAGCCCUGGUUGAAAAAGCCCCUAAAGAUUUAUGUUAUACAACGUUUGACAUGUUUGAACGAACUUAAAUAUAUUUCUUUUGCUCAUUCCUGACGACAAGUCAGACGCACACGGUACAUUUUUACUAGCCUUCGGAGCGCGCUAACACUAUUGGGACAUAAAUUAUUAACUUUUUUGAACAAAACUACAUUUGUUAUGGACCUGGGAAUUCCUAGAAGUGCCUUCUGAUAAAGAUAAUCUAAGGUGUGCUCUGAGGAUGGAACAUGUGCUGUGGGGUUCAGUGUGGGUGGACAUGGUGGCUCAGUUGAUGACCAGUUAUUUAUGUAUUGCAAAGUUUCACGGAUUAAAUAAAAAUGUGGAACUACAACCACGCUGCACUUUGGUCCGAUCCUUUCGACAACCGUGACAGAAUCACCCACCAAAAAAGGACCAAGCAGCGUGCCCUGGAGGAGCAGUGAUCCUGGGCUCGGGAGAAGAGGGAAUGGAGGAUGUCCUGGACCUGGGAGGAGGUAAUGGCAGGGGACAAGACCCUGCCAUGGUAGCAGGUGGAAACGGAGCAAGCGGAACAGCGAUGCUAUGAGGAGCUAGCCCAACGACG